UACGGGGGGGGCCAGCGUUGUUCGGAAUUACUGGGCGUAAAGGGUUCGUAGGUGGCCUACUAAGUCAGACGUGAAAUCCCUCAGCUUAACUGGGGAACUGCGUCUGAUACUGGAAGGCUUGAGGACAGGAGAGGAACGCGGAAUUCCAGGUGUAGCGGUGAAAUGCGUAGAUAUCUGGAGGAACACCGGUGGCGAAGGCGGCGUUCUGGACUGUUUCUGACACUGAGGAACGAAAGCCAGGGGAGCAAACGGG
rnacentral:rRNA from 1 species